AACUUAAAGACGAGCGGAUGGUGUGUGAGCAAUGGCUGCAUCAUUAACCCUCUGAGCGCAGUGUGCGGCUGGCCCUGCAGCUAAUGCUACUUCUCUAAGGGUUAGAACAGCUCUGUCAGUCUGUGCACGUCGCUUCGUUCAGUGCUUCCGAAGUUGCACUUACACAGAAGAGGAAGAAAGCAAUAAGUUUGGGUCUUCUAAGCUAAAACGCGUUAAAGAUCUACACUACUAUAAGCAGAAGCACCUAAAUCAGGGGAACAAACCCAGGGAUGCUCUACAGACUAAUCAGUGUCUUUUUUUUUCAUUUUUCAAUCUUUGAUGCAUAAACUUGUUUAAAAAGUUGAGUCCAAUGUAUAAAAUCCGGGUUUUUGUUUUAAGAAAAGAAAUAUAAAAAUAAUUUUUUUACAUUAUAAAGGUCAUCUUAAAUUUCCUGCAGUUCUACAAUAAUGAUACUACAUAAUUUGUAGUCAGUACUCUAAAACCUGUUCUGUCAAGUAGACAAAAAUAGCCCCCUCUCUCCCUCAGUUUGGUGUUCUUCUCUUCAGCAGUCUAAAAUACAUUUCUUUCAAGCAGGAAAAGAUACGCACUGGACCGGACUGGUCUGUGUGCCAAGUGUGUAAACGUAGAGAUAUCGAUACAUUUGGUUAAGUUAGGAUUUACAUCAGUUUGUGGAGAUCAGAAUGUGUCCACAGAUCAAAAUAGAAGAUACCAGAACCUGGUAAACAUUCUCAGGCUGCAGAGAAUGCCUUCACGUUUGGCCUCAUGGUGAGGGAGAUCUGUUAGAAAAAGCUCGGGUAAGUUCUUUAACAAGUCAGACACCAAAUCAGCAAGAAACGUUUUUGGUCUUGCAGAGGGUAAAUGCAGCCUGUGAGCAGAGGGCAGGGCAGUGUGCUGCUGCUCCGGGCUGCACGGCUGGGAGUGUGGGGCUCAGCCCCUUCCUGCAGCCUGGCCUCAGCCUGGCUUGUGAGAUGGAGCGCAGCGCUCCUGAGUGCCUCAGUCAGGCUGUGUGGCUGCUUGCCCUACGUGCUCCUCUGUGCUCCUCAUGUGUGCUGCGUUAAGGGGAAGCUUUUUGAGGCUCUCCCCAGCCCACUGCAUGGCCAUUCUGGCUGCCCGAAUUUGCAACAACCAAAGCACAACAGCAGGGAAACCCUGCACUGGACUGAUGUGGGGAGCAAUCCUCUGCCCUGCCACACACCAGUGGGAUUCAGUGUGUCUGCACAGAGACUAUUACCUGUAAACAGUACCUUCCUGUUCUCAAACAAGAAGUUUAAAAAAUACAUCUCAUUUGUUUAAAUAUUUCUCUAUCAUCCAGUCAGAUCACAAAGCUAGCAUCGCUACAUUUCAUUUUCAGACACAAGGGCUUUUACAAAAGGCUCCUAUUCCAGCUUUUCCAGUUCCAUGGUAUAACAGCUACAGGAGGACUACAGCUUAAAGCAGCUCGGAAGGCAGAACAUGGAAGCCUGCGUUAGAUGUAGAGCACCUACCACCUACUGCAGCAAGCUGGGGAGUCUCUCUUUGCUUUCUGCCACACUCAUAGAUAAUGCAGUAAAGAAAGAAAAACCCCAAACAAACAAAAAGCAGCACAGGGCGGGGACAAAAGGCUUAUUUACUCAUCAGCACUUCAAAUUUUGGCAGGUUUUGUGUUGUUUUUUUUUUUUAAACCUUUUUAAAAAUCACUUUGCUAUCUUUAACCGCCACCUCCCCCCAAAUAAACAAAUGAGUUUUCCAGCAUCCUCCAAUCGUUCUGUUGCCUAACUUUGCAGUGAAACAGGGAACUGGGGCGGGCCUCUGGUCCUUUUUGGUGGGAGAGCAAAGUGCCCAACGUCUCAGCAGACACGGGUGGGUGUGGGACUACGUCCCCGUGGAAGCCACGCUGCAGGCUGAGGGCUCUGCGGGUGCGGGAGAGCACCCGGCGUUGGGUCUGGAGGAGCAGACAGCAGCUGUGAGGGGAGCGGAGACGGGGAGGGGGUCGGUGUGUUCUCUGUGUGUGGAGUCUGCGGGGGCUGCAAGCUUGUCUGAAGGGAAAGCGGAGGAUACGCAUUGGAGUGCAUCCAGGGGGGAGGGAGGGGAGUCUAUAGCACUUCCAUCGGAAGAAACUGGGCUGGCACAGCGUCCUUCUCCUUGUAAGUACCGAAUGCACUUCUUUUUCCUCCUGAGUUGGAGUCCUGCUGCUUUUCCCGUGUCCGCCUCUUCUUUUUUCCCUAGGAAAGCCAAGGAAAAGCCCAUCAGGCCGUGCUCCCAGUGCUGGGGGAUGGAUGGGUCUGAGCUCUGGGAAAUACACCCGGGGAAGUCCCAAAGCCACCACCAGGGUGAGUGUCCCCACGUCCAGCACUGCAGGCAGUGAGGCUCACAUGUAUACAUCUGCAGGAACUCAGAGAUGGAGCCACAUCUCUGCUAUCACCCCGCUGCCUUCCCAGCUUUCCUCCCUCAGCUGAGUCCCCCAUUCACACUGCAGCCUGCCUAAAAAGUUGCAAGAGAGAGCUGCACUGAAUGCAGUUACACACUGGCUCCUCCUUGCAGGACACUGGUUUGAACAUCACCUGGCUCUCCUGCUCCAUUUGAAGCACUGCAGGAGGUUCCAUCUGCACAACACAGCAGAACUGUGAUCAGAACUCCUCCCAGGAGGAGCACCCUGAUGUCACGUGGGAAAGCUUUACAAAUCCCAGGGCAGUUUUAAAAAGUACCCA
rnacentral:lncRNA from 1 species